rnacentral:rRNA from 1 species
GACGUAGGGUCCAAGCGUUGUUCGGAUUUACUGGGCGUAAAGAGCGCGUAGGCGGUCUGUUAAGUGUGAAGUGAAAUCUCCAGGGCUCAACCCGGAAACUGCUUCGCAUACUGGCAGACUUGAGGAAUGCAGAGGUUUGUGGAAUCCCUGGUGUAGCGGUGAAAUGCGUUGAUAUCAGGAGGAACACCCAUGGCGAAGGCGGCAUCCUGGACCGACAUUGACGCGUGAGGAGCCGAA